GUAGUCAUAUGCUUGUCUCAAAGAUUAAGCCAUGCAUGUCUAAGUAUAAGCAAUUUAUACAGUGAAACUGCGAAUGGCUCAUUAAAUCAGUUAUCGUUUAUUUGAUAGUUCCUUUACUACAUGGUAUAACUGUGGUAAUUCUAGAGCUAAUACAUGCUUAAAAUCUCGACCCUUUGGAAGAGAUGUAUUUAUUAGAUAAAAAAUCAAUGUCUUCGGACUCUUUGAUGAUUCAUAAUAACUUUUCGAAUCGCAUGGCCUUGUGCUGGCGAUGGUUCAUUCAAAUUUCUGCCCUAUCAACUUUCGAUGGUAGGAUAGUGGCCUACCAUGGUUUCAACGGGUAACGGGGAAUG
rnacentral:rRNA from 1 species